GAUGAACGCUAGCGGCAGGCCUAAUACAUGCAAGUCGGACGGGAUUGAGGAGCUUGCUCCUCAUGAGAGUGGCGCACGGGUGCGUAACACGUAUGUAACCUACCUUAAUCAGGGGGAUAGCCUCUCGAAAGAGAGAUUAACACCGCAUAAAAUCACACUAUGGCAUCAUAGAAUGAUCAAAUAUUUAUAGGACAAGGAUGGGCAUGCGGGACAUUAGCUAGUUGGUAGGGUAACGGCUUACCAAGGCUACGAUGUCUAGGGGAUCUGAGAGGAUGGCCCCCCACACUGGUACUGAGACACGGACCAGACUCCUACGGGAGGCAGCAGUAAGGAAUAUUGGUCAAUGGGCGCAAGCCUGAACCAGCCAUGCCGCGUGCAGGAAGACGGCCCUACGGGUUGUAAACUGCUUUUGCGCCGGAAUAAACCCUUUUACGAGUAAGAGGCUGAAUGUACGGCGAGAAUAAGGAUCGGCUAACUCCGUGCCAGCCGCCGCGGUAAGAC
rnacentral:rRNA from 1 species